CUCAGAUAUAAGCAAACCAGGACAACUGACCACAUACAUUAAGAAGAUCAUCUGCAUGGUCAGAGGUCUUACAGACCUACUUCUGGGACAGAAAACUUUUGUGAGGCCUGAUAGAUAGAAAUAACCAGAUAAGGACUUCAUUUGAACACCUAGGAGAUGCUCCAGUCCAGGACAAACCAACCAGAGACUCUGCAUUGAAUCUUUUGGGAAACGGUCACCAAAAUCACAUAAAUCCACCAAGACUGGGAGUUAGCUAAACCAUCUUUUUCAUUAUUAGAAUUAUUCUGCAUCUAUCAUCUUCCGCAUGAUUAUAAAUAAAAUGAUGCGUCACUUUACCAGCCACAGUGGACUUUCAGCAGUGACUCAACAUGAACAGCUCUCUCAGCACACCCUGCGCCCUUCCAGCCGCUCUGCUGUGGGCCUCACGGAGGAUUGGCUUCUGCUGCUUCAUUUCAGAGGUGGCAAAGGCUCACGGACAGAGCGAUGCAGAUGGAUGGAAACGCCAGGGACAGAGGCACCUCCCUCACUCAAUAGGUGCCCCAGCUGCUUGCUCAGCCACACAACCAGGACCACCUGGUAGCACGCUGCAGUCCCUGUCUACAUUCCCACACCGCAGUUCAUCCAUCCCUGGGGAUGAGGUUUGCCUGGAAACCUGCACGCUGCCGCUCCAGAGUCAGAAGAGGAGUUAUACUACCUUUCUGCACAUUUCCAAACUUUCAACUGGAAUGAUGCAGAGGGUGGAAGCAGCUGAAAAGGAUCUGGAUCCGACACCAGGGUUUUUCCUCCCCACACGUCUGUGACAAGCUAGCAAAAGUGCAUACCUCUACAUUUAAAUACAAAUAAGAAGACUGCCUUGCAAAGGAAGUGCACACAAGGACAGAUGAUCACAUCUCACACUGGACUGGAGGCAAACCUGAACCUUUAUGAUAGGAAUACAUCUGAUACAGAACCAAUUGUAAAGACUUUUUGCCAUACACUGUGACCACUAAUAUUUUAUCGCUACUUUUGCAGAGUAAUCUGCAAUUAAAGAGAUAGCAUAAAGAAUGAAAUAUUUUUGAGUCCUUCUGUUAUAACCCACCCCCAGAGUUAAAUGCUGACAGCUAGAGAAAGAACAUGCAGAGCUAUCUAUUCAGAGGCAGCACCAUGAAUGCAUUCAAUUAAAACUGCAAAGCAUCGUCUUGAAAAAGGGGAUACGGCGACUGCAUCUCCCACCGGGAGCCAGACCUCACCUCCAGUGAUACACUACACGCUCUUGCAAGGUGGAAGAUUUCCUCCUUCCCGUGACAAAAAAAUAAUCUGCAGAGGAGGAAACACUUACCUUAAUUUCAUUUUGGAGAAAAAAUAAUAAUAAAAAUUAAAAGAAUAUCA
rnacentral:lncRNA from 1 species